rnacentral:rRNA from 1 species
UACGGAGGGUGCAAGCGUUGUUCGGAAUUACUGGGCGUAAAGAGCGUGUAGGCGGUUAAUUAAGUCAGAUGUGAAAGCCCUGAGCUCAACUCAGGAAGUGCAUUUGAAACUAAUUAGCUAGAGUACGGGAGAGGAAGGUGGAAUUCCUGGUGUAGAGGUGAAAUUCAUAGAUAUCGGGAAGAACACCGGUGGCGAAGGCGGCCUUCUGGUCCGAUACUGACGCUGAGACGCGAAAGCGUGGGGAGCAAACAGGAUUAGAUACCCGCGUA